ensembl:lncRNA MIR3945HG MIR3945 host gene
ACUCAGGAUUCAUGUCUGCACUUCAUUCACUGCGUAGGAAGGUGAGGGUGGUUAAGGAGGUGCCACUCUGGGAGCAGAAGGCAGUCACUGGAGCAGAUCAGUGGAGCUACGUUACGGAGAUCCGGGAUGGUCCGUGAGGAUGCUGGGCCUCACCUGCCUCUUCCUCCUGCUUGCCACCUCUCAGUCACAAGACGGCUGCUGCGACUCAGGCUCAUGUCCCAAUUCAAGGCAGCAAGAAGGCCAUGGAGCGGCACCUGCCAGCUCCUGUCUCCCCAUCCCCUAGAAUCGUUGACAAAAUGAGUGACACUGCCCUGGGAUCUGGGUCUCUGGUUGAGGCCUUGGAGCUACUGCCUCUGCCUGUGAACUCACCCAUCAUCGCUAACAGGUUGCUCCACAGCCUACAGAUCUCAAUAUUUCGCUAGCACAAAACCCAAGCGGCCAGGCACGGUGGCUCACGCCUGUAAUCCCAGCACUUUGGGAGGCCGAGGCGGGUGGAUCACUUGAGGUCAGGAGUUCGAGACCAGCCUGACCAACAUGGAGAAACCCCGUCUCUACUAAAAAUACAAAA